rnacentral:tRNA from 1 species
GGCUUGAUAGCUUAUUCGGGACAGCACUCGUCUAGCAUACUAGAGUGCUGAGUUCGAAUCCCAGUUGAGCUC